GGCGGGGCCUGAGGGAGGAAGUGGGGCGGAGGAAGUGGGGGCGGAAGGAGCCCGUGGAGUGGCUCUUCGCGACACCAGAGAACGUUGGGCGGGCCCGACCUGCGGACGGCGGCCCGCUGGGCCCAAUGCUAACUUGUACUAAGUAGCGUGGACGCGUGGGGUAACUGGACGGCUCUCUGUAGUAGAGAUCAGGCAUGACCUCCCAUGGAUGUUCACGGGAGAUGGUGCCGCGGUUGCACAGAACUUCCCGAGCCAGCAUCCACCACAUUAGACCCACUGAUGAGCUCCUUGCUGUUGCAAGGGCUGGCAAAGUCCACAUAGCACGGAGGAGAGUCUGCGUGACACAGCGCAGUGGUCGGCAGGUUAUAAUGUAAGACGUGUCUGUGAGAAGCUGGUGGUCAGCGCUAGACCAGUAACCACCAGGAGGCUCCCGUAAGACUACCUGGGUGUGGUUAGUGAAGAUUCCAGGAGUAAAGCAGCUGGCAGUAAGAGCGGCUCCAGUGGCAAACUCAGCUUGCUGGCCAGCAUUCCUGGACGAUAUGACACUGGCGCCAGCAGGGGUUUCAAUGGCAACAGUGGCACGAACUGCCAGGAGCCUCUCCCAGGUGCUCUUCAGAUUGAUGAUGUAGAUGCCAUCACUUUUCCUUUUGUAGAUGUGCUGUUCCAUUUGGAAGUCAAGGUCGGCGCCACCUAAGUGGGUUCCUGCUGCAAGGAAUUUAAGGACAGGACAUCCUCCUCCUUCACUUGCAGGACAUCAGGGUCUCUGGACAUUGUGAAAGUUUCCAUUUCAGUUAUGUGGGAACUGAGAACAAUGCCAUAUGGGUAGUGUAGGAAGCUGUUUUCUAUUUUUUGUUUUUUAAUCCUCACCCCAGGAUAUGUUUAUUGAUUAUGGAGAGAGAGAGAAAGAGAGAAACAUGGAUGUGAGAGAGAAACAAUUAGUUGCCUCCUUUACAUGCCCCAAACGGGGAGCGAACCCGUAACCUAGGUAUGUGCCUUGACUUGGAAUUGAAUCCGAAACUAUUUUUGGUGUACAGGAUGAUGCUUCAAUCAGUUGAGCCACCCAGACAGGGCAAAGCUGCUUUUGUUUUUUUAAUAACAUGAUUAAACAAAUGUUUAAAGGAAAUAUUCACUUAUAACUGCA